rnacentral:tRNA from 1 species
GGCUAGGUAGCCCAGUUGGCAGAGCAGAGGACUGAAAAUCCUCGUGUCGGGGGUUCGAUUCCCUCCCUAGCCA